rnacentral:tRNA from 1 species
UCCGGCGUAGCUCAAUGGUGGAGCAGGCCGCUGUUAACGGCAAGGCUGUAGGUUCGACUCCUGCCGCCGGAGCCA